rnacentral:rRNA from 1 species
UACGGGGGGAGCAAGCGUUGUUCGGAUUUACUGGGCGUAAAGGCGCGUAGGCGGCCACCGCAAGUCGGUUGUGAAAUCUCCGGGCUUAACCCGGAAAGGUCAAUCGAUACUGCAGGGCUAGAGUGCAGAAGGGGCAACUGGAAUUCUCGGUGUAGCGGUGAAAUGCGUAGAUAUCUGGAGGAACACCGGUGGCGAAGGCGGCAUCCUGGACCGACACUGACGCUGAGGCGCGAAAGCUAGGGUACGCAAACGGGG